UGAGGAAUAUUGGUCAAUGGGCGCGAGCCUGAACCAGCCAAGUCGCGUGAGGGAAGACGGCCCUAUGGGUUGUAAACCUCUUUUGCCGGGGAGCACAAGUGCCACGUGUGGCAUUACGAGAGUACCCGGAGAAAAAGCAUCGGCUAACUCCGUGCCAGCAGCCGCGGUAAUACGGAGGAUGCGAGCGUUAUCCGGAUUUAUUGGGUUUAAAGGGUGCGUAGGCGGAGAUUCAAGUCAGCGGUAAAAAUGCGGGGCCCAACCCCGUCGAGCCGUUGAAACUGGGUUUCUGGAGUGUGCGAGAGGUAUGCGGAAUGCGUGGUGUAGCGGUGAAAUGCAUAGAUAUCACGCAGAACCACGAUUGCGAAGGCAGCAUACCGGCGCCCAACUGACGCUGAGGCACGAAAGCGUGGGUAUCGAACAGGAUUAGAUACC
rnacentral:rRNA from 1 species